GUGUGAAUAAGCACCAUGGCGGUGCCUUGGGUCCCCAGCACGCAUCGGCAGGCCCACAUCCCAUAGACUGCGAGGAUCCAGGGCUUGUGCUGCAGGCAGAGAGGGAAAGAGAAGAGAAAGUUACAUCAGCUCAAGCAGAGAUCAUCAGGCAUCAGAUCCUGAAGGCUGGGCCCCUGCCCCAGAGUGAUGGCUGCCGACCCCCAGGUCCUCGGAACGUCACCUGACUCACCCAGAAGCAAGGCGCCACUUCCCUGCCUUCAGCCAAAGCCGCAGGCCAGUGGAUCCCGCAACAAUAAGAUACAUGCUGACAUUCCAACAGACAUUACAGAAGCCAGAAGACAGCUGGAAAAGCUGCCAGCCUGGCACCCCAGCCACCGCCUACACUAUUCUGCGAAAGUGAAGGCUUCAGAGGCCAAUAUCCAUGCCCCCUGAUUUCCUAGCUCAGGGUUCCUUCUUGACAAACAGCAAAGGAGAAAGAAGCUGAAAUGGAAAUGAUGCACAUAACCGUACCUUCCUCGAAAGCAGGUUGGCAACUUGAGACACGCUCAUGUGGCCAAGGAAUAGCCACACCAGCCGCUCCUU